UCUAUGACGGAGGCAGAGAGGAUCCUUAACAGAAUCACUGAGGGAGAUUCUGACAUGGAGUUGUCAGAGGAUGAGAGUCCAGAGAGAGUAUGAGACAGAAGAGGGUGAAAGCUCGGGUGAGGAGGACCCAGAUGAGACAGAUGAUCUCCUGUUGAAGGAAGAAGGAAGACUCUUUUCUCUUGUGUUUUGUACGCUGCAGGAAUCCUGACUGGUUUUUUAGUACCCCGAACAACCCCUCUUGCUACACCCUUUUGGAACCCUUGGAUACCCCCUUUGGAUUGCCCCCAUCAUCGCCCUGGAUUUGGAUUCAUCAUCAUUGCCUCUACAUUAACUUGCCCCUGUGAUUGUGGUAGGAUCUGGACAUUGCCCCUUGCACAGAUUGGAAGACUGAAUCAUUCCCCCUUUUCUUUUCUUUAUUUUCUUUGAGUGCACUCAUACUUUAUUUUGGAUUAUUUUCUUUAAUUUGUUAGUGUAGAAUAUGGCUGCAUAAAAUAGAAUAUAGAUAGAUAUAGACAAUAAAUAGAAUAUUAGGAAGAACUUUUAAAAAGUAUAAUAGAGUAAAAUAUAUAUAUAUAUAACACAUCUAAUUUAGUAUUGAUAUUGAAAUAACUUUACUUUGAACUGUUGAAAUAAAUUGGUUUUUUUAUUGUAAACUAUACCCACGAGUGUGUGUG